rnacentral:misc_RNA from 1 species
AAGUCGUAACAAGGUUUCCGUAGGUGAACCUGCGGAAGGAUCAUUAACGAAUAUCUAUGGCGUUGGUUGUAGCUGGCUCCUAGGAGCAUUUGUGCACGCCCGUCAUUCAUAUCAUCUUUCCACCUGUGAACUAUGUGUAGGCCUGGAUACCUCUCGCUUUGGAAUCGAAGCGGAUGCAAGGAUUGCUGUGUCGACAAGGCCGGCUCUCUUUGAAUUUCCAGGUUCUAUGUCUUUUUACACACCCCAUUUGAAUGAUGUAGAAUGUAGUCAAUGGGCUUUCAUGCCUAUAAAACACUAUACAACUUUCAGCAACGGAUCUCUUGGCUCUC